ACAAGAGAACUGAUCAGUGCUG
rnacentral:miRNA from 1 species